GUAAUGUCUGGGAAACUGCCUGAUGGAGGGGGAUAACUACUGGAAACGGUGGCUAAUACCGCAUAACGUCGCAAGACCAAAGAGGGGGACCUUCGGGCCUCUUGCCAUCAGAUGUGCCCAGAUGGGAUUAGCUAGUUGGUGAGGUAACGGCUCACCAAGGCGACGAUCCCUAGCUGGUCUGAGAGGAUGACCAGCCACACUGGAACUGAGACACGGUCCAGACUCCUACGGGAGGCAGCAGUGGGGAAUAUUGCACAAUGGGCGCAAGCCUGAUGCAGCCAUGCCGCGUGUAUGAAGAAGGCCUUCGGGUUGUAAAGUACUUUCAGCGGGGAGGAAGGUGUUGUGGUUAAUAACCGCAGCAAUUGACGUUACCCGCAGAAGAAGCACCGGCUAACUCCGUGCCAGCAGCCGCGGUAAUACGGAGGGUGCAAGCGUUAAUCGGAAUUACUGGGCGUAAAGCGCACGCAGGCGGUCUGUCAAGUCGGAUGUGAAAUCCCCGGGCUCAACCUGGGAACUGCAUUCGAAACUGGCAGGCUUGAGUCUUGUAGAGGGGGGUAGAAUUCCAGGUGUAGCGGUGAAAUGCGUAGAGAUCUGGAGGAAUACCGGUGGCGAAGGCGGCCCCCUGGACAAAGACUGACGCUCAGGUGCGA
rnacentral:rRNA from 1 species